rnacentral:rRNA from 1 species
AUGAACGCUGGCGGCGUGCCUAAUACAUGCAAGUCGAGCGAACAGACGAGGGGCUUGCUCCUCUGACGUUAGCGGCGGACGGGUGAGUAACACGUGGAUAACCUACCUAUAAGACUGGGAUAACUUCGGGAAACCGGAGCUAAUACCGGAUAAUAUAUUGAACCGCAUGGUUCAAUAGUGAAAGACGGUUUUGCUGUCACUUAUAGAUGGAUCCGCGCCGCAUUAGCUAGUUGGUAAGGUAACGGCUUACCAAGGCGACGAUGCGUAGCCGACCUGAGAGGGUGAUCGGCCACACUGGAACUGAGACACGGUCCAGACUCCUACGGGAGGCAGCAGUAGGGAAUCUUCCGCAAUGGGCGAAAGCCUGACGGAGCAACGCCGCGUGAGUGAUGAAGGUCUUCGGAUCGUAAAACUCUGUUAUUAGGGAAGAACAAAUGUGUAAGUAACUAUGCACGUCUUGACGGUACCUAAUCAGAAAGCCACGGCUAACUACGUG